GCUAAGUAAAGUUCGUGGAAAUAAGAUAAGUUUACUACUCAUCUUUAAUGCGUCUGCUCUUGCUUCUCGAAAAGCUCACGAUAGCAAAUAUCGGAGAAUGAAAAAUGUCAAUGUUACGGCAUUACAGCAGUUUCAGAACGGUGCUUGUAGAUAACUUUUGAAUGUUUAAUGGUUCGUCGGUUUCUCACGGACCUGUGCAGCGGAAAACGAAGCCACGGGAUCCGCGUCUAAGUUGAGGAAGACACCCCCACGGUUGCCAUAUUUCAUCCCGAAAGCUAGAGAUAACAAACCUGCGUCGGAUCUAACGAAAUCUAAAUCACCAUCAAAAUUUUCAUGGAAUCGUAUUACUAGUAACAUUCGGAGAUCCAUCACAGGUUCCGGAUCACUAUCUCGAAGCGAAUCACUUUGUUCGAACAACUCUUUCAACUCCAUGUGCUCCAGCACUGGGAAACUCGUCAGUUCUUCAACCAAAGGUGUCGGAAAAAAUUUAAAAAAGCUGAAAAGUAUGGGUCUGGAUUCCGGAAGAAAAAUCGUUAGGGGAGCAAUGGGCAGCUUAAGCCGAAGUUUCAGCGGACGUUCGUCGUCUAGGAGGAGUGACGGAAAUUCGUUGCCUCGGGAAAGGGACCACAAAACCUCACGCACCAAUUCUGCCGGCGAUCAGUGGGAAAUUGACCAAAAACCUAACCCUUCAAUUCCACCAACAGCAUCACUCAUUAAUCUGCCAAAAAUAUUAACGCCACCCACCUGUGUUACUCCAUCUCCUGCCCCUAAAAGACCCAGCCCCCCGUCUACCGCCACCAACAGUCCAAAAGCUUCGUCAAAGCCCUCUUCUAGACCCUUAUCUCCGACUUUGCCGAAGACCCCGCACCCUAAAUCCUCACCUCAGCGCUCACCGAAACCCUCUCGUGAACCUUCCCCCUCAGCCUCGCCCCCUUCUGCGUGUAAUAUUCUACCACGCAUCGGACCCAUAGGUCCAGACGUUUGUCUAUCAGAUGCUUUGAACAGACUUGCAUCGGAAGGUGCAUUCGAAGGUCAAUUGGAAGGUGUACCCAGGAGUGCAUCUGGGACUGGUUUUAGGAGUCCGCCGCGAAGUGAUUUCAGAAGUGAAUAUAUUCUAACAUCUAAGGACCAGCCAAAGAGCAACGACUUGCCCAAAUGCCCAACUGGACCUAAGUCUCUCUCAAGGAGUCGCUCUAGGUCUCCUCAGCGGAGCCCACUCAGAUCUCCCAUUCGUAGUCCACCCAAACCCUCUUCACAGAGUCCAACCAAACCCUCUUCACCGAGUCUAAACAAACCCUCCCCACAGAGUCCAACCAAACCCUCUUCACUGAGUCCAACCAAACCCUCUUCACAGAGUCCAACCAAACCCUCUUCACUGAGUCCAACCAAGCCCUCCUCAAAGAGUCUACCCAAGCCCUCUUCACGGAGUUCACACAAGCCUCCUACUCCGAGUCCACCGAAGCCCAUACCAGUGAGUCCUCCCAAGCCAAGCCAGAGAAGCCAUAAACCUAUGCCCAUUCCUCUUCCUGGUGGAAACAGAAAAGUUCCUCGCAAACCUAUGCCUUAUUUUAAGGGUCCUGACGACCGUGCCCGUGCUGAUGGCCAUGACUGGGACAGUCAGGACCCUCAGGAGCAUCUUUUUCAGGAAAUGCAAAAAAGGCUCCUCUCUUACUUCCCAAUGAAAAAAGCUCCUAACAGAGAGGAGUUCCGAAUUUUCCUGGCAGAUGUUCACGACAUUCAAAUGGAACAGAGAGCAAGAAGAGGUCCACGAGCCUCUAAAGACUUUCUUGAAAGAUUCUGCCUGACAUCGGUCCCUACCAUCCAGAAAGACGCGGUCAAUACUGCUGCCUUGAAACAAGACUGCGCGACACUGUGCGCCGAUGCCUAUGGCUACAUAUUCAAACCGUCCGAGUGGGAAGAUCCCAAAAACGAACUCGACUUCUUCGCUUGCGGGACACUCAUUCCAAUAACCCGCGGUGACGUCUGCGUCAGCCCCCCACCCCAGUUCAUUAGCCCCGAUGAAAUAAAGUUCGAUUGCGUGUGCAGGACAACCGUUGACUUCGAGAGGGCCAUGGACAGCCAAAAAAUUGGGUUGACGGAGUUUUACCGAGCAAAGCAAAGGUCCUCGAUUGAGGCGCUGGGCUGGUUACGCAAGACUUUGGAGGAAAACGAUAGUGAGUUUGAGGUGGUGACAAUGGAGGACUUUCAGCUGAAGAUCAAAGCUCUCUUCAGGAAAUACAACGUUCCUGAUCCUGACGUCAACUAUCAUUUAAAGUACCUGCAGAGCCGACAAGCUGGCGGACAGAGUGAGGAAAAGGCGGACGCGAAAUACUGGGAGGACAUGAUGUUCAGACGAUGAGUCCCAGCGCCCGGCUCUCGAAAGACGCAUUUAGUGUGACGUCACAUCUCGUUAUAAUUUCAAUAGACGCAUUUAGUGGUGACGUCACGGAGCGAUAUUGUUGGUUCGAUAUCUCGAAAGUCGAAAUGUGCCCCUACAAACAAACAUAACCUCCAAAAUGAACAAUUAUUGACGAAAUAAUACUAAAACUAGCCUGAAACCAAACAACUAAUCCAUAGGACUUCAAAAUUAUGAAAGCUAGUCAUUUACCAAAACGUUCGAGAUCACAAUCACAAGAAUUGAUUGUAUAACAAGCUCGUAAUAUCAUAGACAGUCAUCAAGUGAAUCCCCCUACCCCUCCUGCCUAUAUACCGCAGAUUCCUCUAUGUUAGUUUGUUGGGGCACGUUUCGACUUUCGAGGUAUCGAAAUUAUAACGAGAUGUAACGUCACACUGAAUACGUCUAUACCUCGAAAGUCGUAACGUGCCCCAACAAACGAACAUGAAGGAAUCUGCGUGAAUCUGCGGGAUAUAUGCAGGGGGGUAGGGGGAUUCACUUGAUGACUGUCUAUGAUAUUGUACGAGCUUAUUAUACCAUCAAUUAUUGUAAUUGUGAUUUCGAACGUUUUUGUAAAUGACUAGCUUUCAUGAUUUUAAGGUCCCAUGGAUUAAUUGUUUAGUUCCAGGCUAGUUUUAGCAUUAUUUCGUGAAUUGUUUAUUUUGGAGGUUAUGUUUGUUUGUUGGGGUACAUUUCGAUUUUCGAUAUAUCGAACCAACAAUAUCGCUCCGUGUCGUCAUCACUAAAUGCGUCUAUAGACGCGUUGUUAAAGUCAGAAUUGCGACUUCUGAGUUAUCCGCUGAGUUGCUGAGCUCAUCAGCGAAGGUGUUGUUAAACGUUUUCUGAAGUUAUCCGCUGAGCUGCCAGUUUGUAAAAAAAGGCCGCCAUCCUCUCAGCAAAAUUGGUCAGCGCUCAGCCAGGGUCCGCGGUCCGCUGAGCUGGCUGAGCUGCUAUUACUACGUCAUAGGCAUUAUUUGUGUUUGUAUCGCUAAGCGGAUAACUCCAAAAUGGUGGACUGACGUCAUUUCGCUGACUUCACUUUUUUAGUUAACAACGCGUCUUAUGGUUCCUCUCGUAAUCUGCGUUUGUUAAUUCUGUAUAAUUAAUAAUUCAAUAAUUUUCAAUACUUCCUAAAGCAGUAACCAUGUG
rnacentral:lncRNA from 1 species